rnacentral:lncRNA from 1 species
GAAGCCAUGGACGCUCUGAACUCCGACGGUCGGGAUUGGAAAUGAAAGUCUCUCGCUUUAACGCCAUACGGGUUCGGAGUCUGAGGGAGAGCGACGCCAGAUUUGAGAACGGAGACUGUGGCGGCGGAGGGGGAUGGAGUAAGGUGGUGAAGUAGAGCGGCGUUGAUGGAGGUGAGAGAGGCGGACAGAGUCUGAGUCCGCCUUGAGGCACCAAGGACGGAUCGGCGGAGAACUGUGCUGAUCAUUUUCAGAUCUAGAGGAGGGAGGUGAGAUGAGAAGGAAAAUGUUUGACAGAGAAAACCCAAAUUAGGGUUUUAGGGUUUUAGUGAGGGGCCUUUAAAGAAGAAGAAGGCAGGUGGCAACUUGAAAGUAUCUACGCCUCCUACAAGUAUUAAAAAAAAAAAAAAAAAGAAGAUAUUUUGUUAUAAUCGCCUGCAGGUGAGUGUAUGGUAUACUCCUGUACCUGCUGCGCGAGUUUAUUUUUCCUUGAGCCCAGAGGUGUGAACAAAGUGGGCCGAGUUACUUGGUGCGUAAAUAAUUCCGGAUUUUAUAAAUACUAAUUUGAAAUUGUCAUAAUUUGAAUUGGUUAUUUUGACUUUUAACUAAUGUUAAUUAAUUUUAAAAAUAUCUGUUCAAUGUGCAUAUCUAACCUACUACUCGGCUGGGAAAUGAGAAUCAUUUUACUGACAAAAUAGAUCCACUCUUUUUCAAAGCUGUAAACUACUCGCGCUUAUGAAGAUUUUCAUGGCGGCUUCAACCAUAGUAUGACUCUGUACAUGGGAUGCCGUGAAGACUGAUAACAAGUCUGGUGAUCACUGAGACUAAACUUGCUCUGAGCAAGCGUGGGAUCGAGGUAAUUGUGUCCCAAGGCCAUUGCUCAACUUAUUGGAUUGUGUUUUUCCAAUUCUCUACUCUGCUUCACAGCAUUAGAAUUCAUAUGGUACUACUUAUUAAUGAAAACAUUCAAAAGACUAACUAUGAUAUAUUGCAAGUCUAUUUUGUUUUGUCAAGCAAUUUCAAUAGAAAAAUCAUCUAACAAACACAUAAUGAAUUGGCAUAUAACAUUGCGCACCAAAAUUCAAACUAAAACCAUGUAUAGCUGACUUAUCUGUUGAAUCCCGUAAGAUUCAGACAUUAUUGCAGGAUCAGGUCAAAACCCCCACCUGUAAACAUUCUCAGAAACGAUAUCUCUAAGCCCUGUCUCACUUGCUGCCUAACACAGGAGACAUAUCCAAACGGGUCUUGCAGUGGAACUGCAGCUCGUACUGAGCUCCGAGGAUACGGUAACGCUUCAACCAAAACAGCUUGUUGCUAAGCUCGUGGCUCUGAGCUUUGAUGACAAGAAACCGUUUCUUGAACCUCAUCUCGAACUGCUCUCUGGACUUCUUGUCGACGUGAGGGGAACGAAGCACCGUGUACAAGGUCCUUGUGUCGGGCAUGGCGGCGUAGCGACUGUGAGGAGGAAGACACCAAGCUUCCUUCUCCGGGUUAUCGAAUGAACGGAUCGCAAUGCAGAUCCUCGUUCCUUUGAUCUUUGAUGUGCUUUCUCCUCCUCCUUUCUUCUAAUUUAAAACCGCAACACACAAGAAAGAAGCAACGGUUCAUAACUGUAUUAGAAUCAUCUAAGAACGAGUUUUAGAGAAGGAAAUGGUACCUUCUUGCUCAAUGGUUUGACAUUCUCCGGAGAGAUUUUGAUCUUAGCUGAAUCUCCGAUGCUGCUUUCACUCCCUGUGGCGUAACCUCGAAACGAGAUCUUCGCCGGGGAAACCAUAGAAGGCUCAGAUCUGAUGUGGAAGUCCCUCGCGCUGAUAACGAACGAUGCGGAGGAGAGAGUAGAUCCAUUCCCAACCAGAUUCAGCUUCACGGAGGCUCCGGUGGCGGCUGAAGUGAUAUUGAGUGAGAGACCCGAGUCAAAAGAGGUCAGCGCGGCGGAGAGAGCAUGCCUCGACGGCAAGGAAGAUCUGCGGAGUACUCCGAUCAUUUACGGAGACUGUGGCGGCGGAGGGGGAUGGAGUAAGGUGGUGAAGUAGAGCGGCGUUGAUGGAGGUGAGAGAGGCGGACAGAGUCUGAGUCCGCCUUGAGGCACCAAGGACGGAUCGGCGGAGAACUGUGCUGAUCAUUUUCAGAUCUAGAGGAGGGAGGUGAGAUGAGAAGGAAAAUGUUUGACAGAGAAAACCCAAAUUAGGGUUUUAGGGUUUUAGUGAGGGGCCUUUAAAGAAGAAGAAGGCAGGUGGCAACUUGAAAGUAUCUACGCCUCCUACAAGUAUUAAAAAAAAAAAAAAAAAGAAGAUAUUUUGUUAUAAUCGCCUG